AGAACGAACGCUGGCGGCAGGCUUAACACAUGCAAGUCGAACGCUCCGCAAGGGGAGUGGCAGACGGGUGAGUAACGCGUGGGAACAUACCCUCCGGUUCGGAAUAACUCAGGGAAACUUGAGCUAAUACCGAAUGUGCCGGUAACGGGAAAGAUUUAUCGCCAAGGGAUUGGCCCGCGUCCGAUUAGCUAGUUGGUGAGGUAAAGGCUCACCAAGGCUCCGAUCGGUAGCUGGUUUGAGAGAACGACCAGCCACACUGGGACUGAGACACGGCCCAGACUCCUACGGGAGGCAGCAGUGGGGAAUCUUGGACAAUGGGGGAAACCCUGAUCCAGCCAUGCCGCGUGAGUGAUGAAGGCCUUCGGGUUGUAAAACUCUUUCGACGGGGACGAUAAUGACGGUACCCGUAGAAGAAGCUCCGGCUAACUUCGCGCCAGCAGCCGC
rnacentral:rRNA from 1 species